rnacentral:piRNA from 1 species
UCCCACUCAUGGUCUGGUAAUGUGUUCCUA